UACGUAGGGGGCGAGCGUUGUCCGGAUUUAUUGGGCGUAAAGAGCGUGUAGGCGGUUCGGUAAGUCUGUCGCGAAAUCCUGAGGCUCAACCUCGGGCGUGCGAUGGAUACUGCCGGGCUAGAGGGUGGUAGAGGCGAGUGGAAUUCCUGGUGUAGCGGUGAAAUGCGCAGAUAUCAGGAGGAACACCGGUGGCGAAGGCGGAUCUCUGGGCCUGAUCUGACGCUGAGGCGCGAAAGCUAGGGGAGCGAACAGG
rnacentral:rRNA from 1 species